GUACGGACUCAGCAGUCUGUGUGUGUGUGUAUGGACUCAGCAGAGUCUGUGUGUGUGUACGGACUCAGCAGAGUCUGUAUGUGUGUACGGACUCAGCAGAGUCUGUAUGUGUGUACGGACUCAGCAGAGUCUGUGUGUGUGUACAGACUCAGCAGAGUCUGUGUGUGUGUACGGACUCAGCAGAUUCUGUGUGUGUGUGUACGGACUCAGCAG